GGGUGAACUCGGCACUGCCGGUGGGAUCCCCCGGAAUCCCAGUGCCGCCUCCGUCACCAUCCAUCCGCCCCGCCCCGCCCCGCCCGGCCCCGAUCAGCACGCGUCGCUCUCCCCGUCCUGCGCUCGCACCGUUUUCCAGCACCACGCUCCGCGCCGCUCGGCGUUAUAUACCCGCCCCCCUCCCCUCACCUGCCACUGCAUCGCCAUCAUCCUCCUCCUCGUCUCCUUCUUCCCCCGCUCCGCGCUCCCGGCCGUCGCGAGGCAGAGGGAGGGAGGCACGGGCAGGUGAGAGAGGCGCGCAAAGAAGCGGGAGCGAGCAAGUGUACGGAGAGGGAGCGAUGGGGGACUCGGCGGCGCCGGCGCCGGCGGCAGGCAGGCUGGAGAAGAGCUACUUCGACGUGCUGGGCAUCUGCUGCCCGUCGGAGGUGCCGCUGGUGGAGAAGCUGCUGGAGCCGCUCGCCGGCGUGCACAAGGUCACCGUCGUCGUGCCCUCCCGGACCGUCAUCGUCCUCCACGACGCCGCCGCCAUCUCCACCGCCCAGAUUGUGAGGGAGCUGAACGGGGUGAGGCUGGAGGCGUCGGUGAGGGCGUACGGCGGCGCCGGGCAGAGCAAGGUGUCCAACAAAUGGCCCAGCCCCUACGUGCUCGUUUGCGGGGUCCUUCUGGUGGUCUCGCUCUUCGAGCACUUCUGGCGGCCGCUCAAGUGGUUCGCCGUGGCGGGGGCGGCCGCGGGCCUGCCGCCGAUCGUGCUCAGGAGCGUCGCCGCGCUCCGGCGGCGCACCAUGGACGUCAACAUACUCAUGCUCAUCGCAGUUGCUGGGGCCAUAGCUCUCAAGGACUAUUCUGAGGCCGGGUUCAUCGUCUUCCUCUUCACCAUAGCCGAAUGGCUCGAGACCAGGGCCUGCGGCAAGGCCACUGCUGGCAUGUCGUCACUGAUGAGCAUGGCACCACAAAAUGCUGUUCUGGCAGAGACUGGACAAGUGGUUGCUACCCAGGAUGUGAAGAUCAAUACAGUAAUAGCUGUGAAGGCAGGGGAAGUCGUGCCGAUCGAUGGUGUUGUUGUUGAUGGACGGAGUGAGGUCGACGAGAGCACCCUCACCGGGGAGUCCUUCCCUGUGUCCAAGCAGGCAGACUCCCAGGUCUGGGCUGGCACACUCAACAUAGAUGGUUACAUUGCUAUGAGGACAACUGCUAUGGCCGACAAUUCUGCGGUGGCCAAAAUGGCAAGGCUGGUCGAAGAAGCCCAAAACAGUCGAUCCAGUACGCAGAGGCUGAUCGACACUUGCGCCAAGUACUACACACCCGCUGUUAUUUUCAUGUCUGCAGCAGUGGCAGUGAUCCCUGUGUGUGUCAGAGCACGCAACCUAAGACACUGGUUUGAACUGGCCCUAGUUCUCCUGGUGAGUGCUUGUCCAUGUGCUCUGGUGCUGUCGACACCUGUGGCAACCUUCUGCGCGCUACUGAGGGCCGCGAGGACCGGGCUCCUCAUCAAAGGAGGGGAUGUCCUUGAGUCCUUGGCCAGUAUCAAAGUUGCUGCCUUCGACAAGACUGGUACAAUCACUAGAGGCGAGUUCUCUGUCGAGGAGUUUCAGACAGUUGGUGAGCGUGUUUCGAAGCAACAACUUAUUUACUGGGUUUCAAGCAUCGAGAGCAGGUCGAGCCACCCAAUGGCAUCUGCUCUUGUUGGUUAUGCUCAAUCAAACUCUGUAGAGCCAAAAUCAGAAAAUGUUGCUGAGUUUCAAAUCUAUCCUGGCGAGGGGAUUUACGGUGAAAUUGAUGGAGAGGGCGUAUAUGUUGGGAACAAAAGGAUCUUGGCAAGGGCAUCGUGUCAAACAGUUCCAGACAUAGUAGAACACAUGAAAGGAGUUACCAUCGGAUACGUGGCCUGCAACAAGGAAUUGAUUGGGGUAUUCAGCCUAUCGGAUUCAUGCCGAACUGGGUCAGCCGAGGCCAUCAAGGAGUUGAGAUCAUUGGGCAUAAAGUCAGUGAUGCUUACUGGCGAUAGUACUGCCGCUGCCACACAUGCGCAAAACCAGCUGGGGAACAUACUAGCCGAGGUUCAUGCUGAACUUCUGCCAGAAGACAAAGUGAGAAUUCUUGAUGAACUGAAGGCAAGAGAUGGCCCUACACUGAUGAUUGGCGACGGCAUGAAUGAUGCCCCAGCACUGGCUAAGGCUGAUGUUGGAGUCUCCAUGGGUGUGUCCGGUUCAGCCGUCGCAAUGGAGACGAGUCACAUUACUCUGAUGUCGAAUGACAUCCGCAGGAUCCCAAAGGCUAUCAAGCUGGCCAGGAGGACACACCGGACCAUCGUCGUGAACAUUGUCUUCUCGGUGACUACGAAGCUUGCAAUUGUUGCACUUGCGUUUGCCGGGCAUCCGCUUAUUUGGGCAGCAGUCCUUGCUGAUGUUGGCACAUGCUUGUUGGUGAUCAUGUACAGCAUGCUGCUACUGAGGGAGAAAGGCAGUGGAAAGGUGGCGAAGAAAUGCUGUGCUUCUUCUCACUCAAAAAAGCAUGAGCAUAGUACUUCCCACCACCACUGCUCCAAUGGUCAUCAGCAUGAGCAUGUAUCUGCAGGCAAGCAUUCUUGCCAUGAUCAUCACCAUGAGCAUGAUCACCACAAAGAGCCUAGCAACCUGCAUUCCACAGACAAGCAUGGCUGCCAUGAUCAUCACCAUGAGCAUGAUCACCAUAAAGAGCCGAGCAACCUGCAUUCCACAGACAAGCAUGGCUGCCAUGAUCAUGGCCAUGGCCAUAGCCACUGCAAAGAGCCGAGCAGCCAGAUGGUGACAAGCAAGCAUGUUUCCCAUGGGCAUGGCCAUACCCACAACAUCUGCAACCCUCACCCCACUGCGAACAAGCAUGAUUGCCAUGACCAUGAACAUAGCCACCACCAAGAACCCAACAGUUCACAUUCUGCCGAUGAGCAUGAUUGCCAUGAUCACAAGCACUGUGAAGAACCAAUCAGCUUGCUUUGUGCCACUGAGCAUGCUUGCCACGACCAUGAGCAGAACCAUGAGCAUCAUUGCUGUGAUGAAGAGCAAACAGUGCAUGUCGCAGAUACGCAUUCCUGCCACGACCAUAAGCAUGACGGCAGUGCGGCUGAUCCAGUUCCAGAGCUGUCGAUAUCUAUCGAGAGCGCAUUGCCUGAUCACCAUGAGCAGGAAAUCCAGUGCAUCAAAGAACACAAAGAGGAAGCGUGUGGACAUCACCUGAAGGUCAAGGAUCACGUCCCGGCUCCGACGGAUUGCAGCAGGGGAAACUGUCACAGUACGGAGAGCAGCAAGGGAUGUGAAUAGUGGCGAAGCUAGAAAUUUUGUGAAGCCUGGGCAAACUUGAGCCUAAGUAUAAAAUAACUCCAAACAUCUGAGUUUGGUCCAAGGAGGGUGAGAGGGGGGAGGGGGCAUAGGCCCCCUCGGCCUCAACAUAGCUCCGCCAGUGAAUAUGAAGUCAAAAUAUAAACAUAGUAGUCGUGCAAAUGUAAUUUUUAAGUAAAUUAUUAUAUAACAUAUUAAUGUUCUUCAUCGAACAAAAUAAAGUUGAGACUUAGACAACAUAAGUCUUAGAAUGAGGCCAUGCAUAGGACCAAAUCCCAUAGGUCUCGGGGUCCCAUCCACCCUUCUACUAUCGGUUUCCGGGUGUGAGCCAGAUGUAGAGCUUGGAUUUGAAUAUUGCUUUGACACCAUGUUGCUAGAAAAUUAUAG
rnacentral:rRNA from 1 species